AGAGCGAACGCUGGCGGCAGGCUUAACACAUGCAAGUCGAGCGGGCGUAGCAAUACGUCAGCGGCAGACGGGUGAGUAACGCGUGGGAACGUACCUUUUGGUUCGGAACAACACAGGGAAACUUGUGCUAAUACCGGAUAAGCCCUUACGGGGAAAGAUUUAUCGCCGAAAGAUCGGCCCGCGUCUGAUUAGCUAGUUGGUGUGGUAACGGCGCACCAAGGCGACGAUCAGUAGCUGGUCUGAGAGGAUGAUCAGCCACAUUGGGACUGAGACACGGCCCAAACUCCUACGGGAGGCAGCAGUGGGGAAUAUUGGACAAUGGGCGCAAGCCUGAUCCAGCCAUGCCGCGUGAGUGAUGAAGGCCCUAGGGUUGUAAAGCUCUUUUGUGCGGGAAGAUAAUGACGGUACCGCAAGAAUAAGCCCGGCUAACUUCGUGCCAGCAGCCGC
rnacentral:rRNA from 1 species